rnacentral:lncRNA from 1 species
GGAAUAUGCAAUAUGCUAGCACAUGAGGUACACUAUGCAAUUAUCAUCUUGGAGUCAUGUAAUCGAAAUUGGAUAGAUAAUUUUACUGCGAUCAAAUGUCAUUUCUGAACUCCGUACUUAAUCAAUACAAAUCCCCACUCAUGGUCUGCUAUACUGGAAAACAAUAAGCCCUCCCAGGGCUACAGAAAGACUCAUUUUAGUGACUAUUCAAUUUGAGGCGGUAGGGUUCAGCAUCAUAAGAAAUUACCAUGUAUUAAAACGGCAAUGCCAAUCUAUGAGUAAUGCAUUGGUCUUCCUAUUAAUAUCAAAAAUAGCAUUUAUAUCUUAAAUAUGGUUCUUAAGUUUGACAAUUGCACCUUUAAAAAACUAUCAACUUUAAUAAAUGCUAAUUAAAAAAAACAUCAUCAUUAAAUCAUGUAAAUAGUUUUUUUUUUUAAUUUUAAAUGUAGAUUUACCUUUUAUUCAGCCUUUCAUUGACAUUGUACAUAUUGUAUAUUCAUUUGAGAUAUUCCACAUACACACACAAUAAUCAAUAUUUCAACUGAGAAUUACCUGACUAAUCUGGUAUAUAGGAAUAUGCAUAUGUACGUUGUUAAAAAAAUAUUAUAUCGGUUGAAUUGAAGACUUUUGGGUAUUGGAUCAGCAAAACAAAUGUCUUAGUAGUAACUGCUGGGUAUUCAAUUAAAGAUUAAAUUCCACUCAAUUAUUAAUUUAGAUUUUAAAAUAUUCAAUCAAUAAAGACGAAGGCCAUGCCUAAAUCGAAAGUCGUGGACUAUGUAAUUAUCAUCAUGUUAUAAACACUGGUUUCACAACAAUGUUUUCUCAUCUGUACAUCGGUUUAAAAUACCUGUACAUGAGAAUUGGUCACACCAGUACACUACAUGUACACUCCAUAGAAUAGAAUUAAUUUCGUCUGUUGAUCAGUUGGACGAUUACCAUUUCUUAUUAAAAGUAAAACAAAACAAAAUUGUAGCGGGGGAUGGGACAAAUUAUUCAACUACAUUUCCUUUUAAGAAAGAUAUAUUUGUUUCAGGGGAAUCAUGGGAUGUGAGACACAUCUGUGAUGCUAUAGGAAAUUAAGGGAGUGUGUGGAACAUGGAGUAAAAAAUUUUCACUCUAUGUUCAUAAUGUUAUUGAAAACAAAUUGUUUGUUUUUGUAACUAAGAUGAAGUGGUUUAUCCUACAAAGAUGAAUGAUCGGCACUUUAAGAAAAUUUAUAUUGAUUUGGAAAACUGAUAUAAGGACAUGAAAUUUGCUUGACAACAGGCCACCUUCGGAUCAAUCAAAGAGUUGCACUCUUCCUAGACGAGGCAUCGAAUUUAACGUCCCCAUUUUUAUAGUUCGUACCUGUACAUCAUGCAAAAUCACACUUACAUGUAGGCUAACUCACAUUUUUACUUACAAUAUUAGAGUUUUUCUCAUCAAGUUAGGAAUGGAAAUGGGGAAUACAAAUAAAUUGGUAAAUAACUGAAUUGAUGAUAUCAUUAUGUAUUCCUAAUAUUGAUGAUAAAAUCCACGUUCUUAAUCAUUAGUUGUAUGUAUUACUAACCCACAAAAGAUCUACUUUAUUUUUCGAGUGUAAACUCUGAUUUUUAUAGAUGGGAACGUAAUAUAGUUAAAUUAAAUUGUUGUGUACACUGAUGACCUAUGCUAACACCAUACCGAGAUAAGCUCAAUUUGAGUAAUAUGAAAAACUUACCAGUAGCCACAAUAUUUAUAUACCACAUCACAUUUUUACAAAUUUC